GUGCUCACUUAGGCAGCACAUAUACUAAAAUUAGAAUGAUACAAAGAUUAGCAUGGCUCCUGUGCAUGGAUGACAGGCGAAUUUGUGAAGCGUUCCGUAUUUUU
rnacentral:snRNA from 1 species